CCCUUAGAUGUUCUGGGCCGCACGCGCGCUACACUGAAGGGAUCAGCGUGUUUUCCCUUCCCGAGAGGGACGGGUAACCCGCUGAACCCCCUUCGUGGUAGGGAUCGGAGCUUGCAAUUGUUCUCCGUGAACCAGGAAUUCCCAGUAAGCGCAAGUCAUAAGCUUGCGUUGAUUACGUCCCUGCCCUUUGUACACACCGCCCGUCGCUACUACCGAUUGAACGUUUUAGUGAGGUAUUUGGACUGGGCCUUGGGAGGUUUCGGCCUCCCUUGUUGCUCGGAAAGACUCCCAAACUUGGGCGUUUAGAGGAAGUAAAAGUCGUAACA
rnacentral:rRNA from 1 species